rnacentral:rRNA from 1 species
AGUGAACGCUGGCGGUAGGCCUAACACAUGCAAGUCGAACGGCAGCACAGUAAGAGCUUGCUCUUACGGGUGGCGAGUGGCGGACGGGUGAGGAAUACAUCGGAAUCUACUUUUUCGUGGGGGAUAACGUAGGGAAACUUACGCUAAUACCGCAUACGACCUACGGGUGAAAGCAGGGGAUCUUCGGACCUUGCGCGAUUGAAUGAGCCGAUGUCGGAUUAGCUAGUUGGCGGGGUAAAGGCCCACCAAGGCGACGAUCCGUAGCUGGUCUGAGAGGAUGGUCAGCCACACUGGAACUGAGACACGGUCCAGACUCCUACGGGAGGCAGCAGUGGGGAAUAUUGGACAAUGGGCGCAAGCCUGAUCCAGCCAUACCGCGUGGGUGAAGAAGGCCUUCGGGUUGUAAAGCCCUUUUGUUGGGAAAGAAAAGCAGCAGGUUAAUACCCCGCUGUUCUGACGGUACCCAAAGAAUAAGCACCGGCUAACCUCGUG